rnacentral:lncRNA from 1 species
ACCUCGCCACUGUCCGCGGUUUUAGCUUUUCAUCAGAUGGUUUUAGCAUCAAAUAGAUUUCUCCUUUCCCUGGGGCGUCCUGGUCAGACGUUAGGACCUGAGGAAACUUCAUACACGGCCCCUGUGCCAUCACUGACUCUGUCAUCCCCACUCUGGGUCUGACUGGACAGGACCCUUAGCUAUCAUCCGUUUGCCAGUUCAAGUUAAUUCUUUAGCCUUGCUACUGUGUCCCUGUCGUUGUGAGAAGGUCCCAGUCAACAUGGGUGCCAGGCUGUAUGUCUAAAACAUGGAUUUGUUUAAGAACUGCAGAGGAGUGCUGGAGAGAUGGCUCAGUGGUUAAGAGCUCUUGCUUUCUUAGAGAAUCUUAGUUCAGUUCCCAAUUCCUGUGUCUGGGACUCACAAUCACCUAUAACUCUAGCUCCAGGAGAUUCAGUGAGCUCUCUGCAGGCACCUGCACAAACAUGUGUUUGUCUGCGUGUGCGUGUGCGUGUGCGUGUGCAUGUGUGUAUCAUGUAUGUGCUUGGUGCCCAUGGAAAUCAGAAAAGGGCAUUGGAUCUCCUGGAAUUGGAGUGGAGUUAUAGAUGUUGUGAACCACCAUGUGGGUACUGGGAAUCAAACCUAAGUCCUCUGUAAGAGGACCACUCUCUUGACCAUUGAGCCUUCCUUCUAGCCCCAGAAAAAUCUUUUAAAAAGAAUGUCAAGCUAGGCUUGUUGGUGCGUGCCUGUAAUCCCAGCACUUGGGUGGGAGAAGCUGGUGGAUCUCUGAGUCUGCACAAUGAAUUUCAGGACGGCCAGGGCUAUAUAGAGAGACCCUGUC